UAGAGGGAGAAGCAGGCUCCAUUCAGGGAGCCCGACGUGGGACUCGAUCCCUGGUCUCCAGGAUCAGGCCCUGGGCUGAAGGCAGUGCUAAACCACUGAGCCACCGGGGUGCCCGUGAUUCUUCUUUACUCAUGUGCCUUGAGGUGGGAGGAACCAGACCCAGGCACCAGCAGAAAGGACAUGGGCAGCCGGGCAGGCUGCAGUGCUCAGCCGGGACUUCAGGAAGCGUCCCACCAUCCCCCAGCAAACUUGGGUCUCCUCACCGCCCCCCCAAGACCCCAUGGGGGCAAUUCCCUCAAGGGCCAGGCCACAGAAGAUCCAACAGGGACUGGCAGGGGCUUCCUGAGGGCGGAAGUGUGGCCAGGGAACUCUUGGGAGGCCCUAGAUGGACGCCCACAGCAUGACCUCAGCCCUCUUGCCUGCCGCAUCCCAUACAUGCUCAGGUGGGCUAUCACUCCUGGGACACCAGUAGCGCCUGCCCCACAAGGCCCUCAUGGCUAACUGGGAUGCAAGCCCUGACUGGAUCAAGAUCCCUGUCUUGGUUGGUUCCCUCUCCUGCACAUUAAGAGCACAGAAACCCUGCCCAUGUGGGCAGAGAACCAAAUGAUGAGCCUUUACUGAGGCUUGGUGGCUAUGCCAGAUGACAAGGACCAGACGGGCAGAGGGAGGGAGCUGUGGCUCAUCCUAGCAGAUGGAAUGUUCCACUGUGGUGUCUGUCAGGGCUGCCAUUUCCCUUCCUCUCCAGGGGCUGAAAGCCCCACUCGGUGGACAAACGUGUCAGAGGGACACAGGAGCCAACCAAAAGAGCGCUCAAUGGCCAAAGACAGAAAAUAACAGUAUUGGAUUAUAACCCCAAGUAUAUACGUAUCCCUGAUCCAUACUGAUAUGCACGAUGGAGUAAAUACACAAAUGGGAGAGAAUGGGGAGAACAGAUCCCUCCUGUACAGAAUCCCGGAGAAUUUAUGUAGAUACCCUGGCUUUGGGGAGAGGGAGCAGGGGGGCGCCUGGGCGGCUCAGUCCGUUACGCAUCUGCCUUGGGCUCAGGUCAUGAUCCCAGGUCCUGAGAUCGAGUCCUGUAUCAGGCUCCCUGCUCAGCAGGCAACCUGCUCUCCCUCUGCACCUCUCCCCCAUUCACCCCUGUGCACUCUCUUUCUUUCCCCCAAGUAAAUAAAUAAAAUCUUAAAAUAAAAAAGAGAGAUGGAGCAGAACUCCCCAGCCUUACACGGGGGUUGUACUUAGGACUCCUUCCAAAGAGGACAAUACAUUGGGGGACAAGAAAAACCUGACGCCCAGUACCACAGCCAGGUAACUGCGGCCCGCUGUCAACAGCAUGAGGCCAUGCUGAC
rnacentral:lncRNA from 1 species